AAUUGAAGCAGAGGACAGUGGCGGACGGGUGAGUAACGCGUGAGGAACCUGCCUUUCAGAGGGGGACAACAGUUGGAAACGACUGCUAAUACCGCAUGACACAUAGGUGUCGCAUGGCACUUAUGUCAAAGAUUUAUCGCUGAAAGAUGGCCUCGCGUCUGAUUAGCUAGUUGGUGAGGUAACGGCCCACCAAGGCGACGAUCAGUAGCCGGCCUGAGAGGGUGAACGGCCACAUUGGGACUGAGACACGGCCCAAACUCC
rnacentral:rRNA from 1 species